GGUGAUAUUAAGGCACUUGAGCUACAGAACUACAAGGACAUCAACUCAACCGCACUACCGUCUUCAAGAUGAAAACCGCCCUGGUGUUGGUUCUUGCUGUGCUGGUCAUCUCCUCCCAGAUGAUGACUGCUGAAAGCUUUGUGAGGGCUGGCAGAGGCGUAGAGCGUGACGCCGAGGCUACCCGGGACGUGGCGGCCCUGAAGGCGCUGUUGGCCCGCCGGCUGGCCGCUGAGCGCCUGGAGAUGGCCAGGGAGCUGCUGGAGAAACGGGAUGUCAUGUUGGAAAAGGAAUAAACAAAAAAAAAAGGACAGCCUUGCGACCAUGAGAACAUCGUGUGAUCUUCACGUGAUCAUUGGCGCCUGUCAUUAAAGCAUGCGAAGACACAUACAAGUGAACAUGCAUAUGCUACAAGCUAUGGCUUUUUGCAGAUAAACUGUUAGGAAUUUAUUUAUGCUAUAGUUGCUAUGGAAAGCAAGAAAAGAUUUGCGACCGGUAGAAAUACAAGGAAAUAGUUGUCAUUAAGAGCAAGAAAGGUUUUCAGACCGGUAAAUGCUCAAAUAUUUGAAGAAGAUGCACGAUUCAUAAUUAUACUGACUGUAUGUGAAAUACGUUGCGUAUUUCUGACAUAACUUGUAAUAAGAUUGCCUGCAUGUCGUUCCCACCUUCAUGCAAACUUGCUAUAAUAAAAUCAUGACAAACUGUA